rnacentral:misc_RNA from 1 species
AUGUCAACAUGAUCACAACUUAGAUUUCAAGACAGAGCUUCUCCAUUAAUAGAAGAAUUAAUUAUAUUUCACGAUCACGCUAUACUAGUUUUAACUUUAGUAACUACUUUAGUAGGUUAUAUUAUUUUAACUAUAUUUAGAAAUAAAUUUAUUGACCGAUUUUUACUUGAAGGUCAUUUAAUUGAAGUAAUUUGAACAGUAAUUCCAGCUUUCUUACUAAUUUUUAUUGCUUUACCAUCCCUUCAUCUUUUAUAUUUAUUAGAUGAAUACGAUAAUCCAUCUUUAACUAUUAAAUCUAUGGGACAUCAAUGAUAUUGAUCCUAUGAAUAUUCAGAUUUUUUAGAUAUUGAAUUUGAUUCUUAUAUAAUUCCCUCAAAAGACUUAGAAGACAACCAGUUCCGUUUAAUUGAAGUUGAUAACCGGAUAAUUGUUCCUAUAAAUACAUAUGUCCGAAUUCUAGUUUCCUCAACUGACGUUAUCCACUCAUGAACUGUUCCAGCUUUAAGAGUUAAAGCAGAUGCCAUUCCAGGACGAUUAAAUCAACUUACAUUUCUAGUAAAUCGACCAGGAUUAUUUUUCGGGCAAUGUUCGGAGAUUUGUGGAGCUAAUCAUAGUUUUAUGCCAAUUGUGGUAGAGAGAAUUUCAAUGAAUUCAUUUUUAAACUGAAUUAACAAUUUUGAAUAA